GUGACGAGAGGCGGAUGGAGAGCGGUGAUCGCGGAUUUGAACGCUGA
rnacentral:snoRNA from 1 species